rnacentral:lncRNA from 1 species
UCAGGUACCGCAGUGUAUCAGCACAUCUUUCUAAAGGAGUUUCAAAGAACCGAAGAAUGUGCUCCUUUAAACAGUUGCUUUUUUCUCUGUUCCUCAGCUUCCUCCACCACGAGUCAGCCUCCUCAUUUUCUGCAGCAUUUUCCAUCUGUGUCAUUGGCGUAGUACACACGUGCCUGACCUAGAUGUUUACUGGCAUUUGCAGCAUCGUGAUUAUCUUCCUCAUCAUUAUCUUUGAAGCCCAACUGAAAUGAUGCCCUGUAACUACGGGUCUGUGAGUUGUUUUGGAACAGGAUGUAUCAGCCUGUCAGCAUUGUUUGAGAGCUCAAGAACUAUUUGCUGACUAGCUAAAGAAUCUUCAGGUUGAAACAGAAUCUUAAAGAUCUGAGGUAAAUGAAUACAGUUAAGUGUAACUGAAGAGGAACCGGUAAGAAAAGCAACAGAACUGAAGAAUAGCAAUUUCCCCGAGAGAGAGAGAGUGAAAGAAAAACUUGUGGUGGAAGCCAGCCAUCAGCAACUCCUAGAGCCAUCCACCUGUUACCCUGGCAUCAGGGAAAGUACAUUAGGUAAUUCAGAUUCUCCUGGGCUCAAAUCCUCGUCUCUGCUGCACAUGACAUCCAAGGCACGUGGUCAGGUAAUUCCCACUCUAGCCUCUGCUUUGAGGGGCUAUGGACUUGGAAUUGAGCUGAAAAGUGUAACUUUCUCCCUCACAUUGUCAUCCCAGGUCCAACCAAGUUGGUCCUUGACCAGUAGUCCCAAGCUUGCACUUGACAGCUAA